rnacentral:misc_RNA from 1 species
GAUGAAGAACGUAGCGAAAUGCGAUAAGUAGUGUGAAUUGCAGAAUUCAGUGAAUCAUCGAAUCUUUGAACGCACAUUGCGCCUCCUGGUAUUCCGGGAGGCAUGCCUGUUCGAGCGUCAUUAAAAUCACUCAAGCUUAGGUUUACCUAUUGCUUGGUCUUGGAGAUGGAAGCCAAUUUAUUGGAAUCCUCUUCGAAAUUCAAUGGCGAAGACCCUUGCUCUCCCAAGUGUAGUAAUAACUUAUGUCACUGAAGGAAGCGAGAAAUCUUCUGCCGUAACCCCCAUAUUUUCUAUGAUUGACCUCGGAUCAGGUAGGGAUACCCGCUGAACUUAAGCAUAUCAAUAAGCGGA